rnacentral:rRNA from 1 species
UACGGAGGGUGCAAGCGUUGUUCGGAAUUAUUGGGCGUAAAGGGCGCGUAGGCGGUUUCUUAAGUCAGAUGUGUAAUCCCCGAGCUUAACUUGGGAACUGCAUCUGAGACUGGGAGGCUAGAGUACUGGAGAGGGUGGUGGAAUUCCUCGUGUAGCGGUGAAAUGCGUAGAGAUGAGGAGGAACACCAGUGGCGAAGGCGGCCACCUGGACAGUAACUGACGCUGAGGCGCGAAAGUGUGGGUAGCAAACAGG